AAAAAGGAUGGUUAGCACUGUAUUCUUGUCCUCCCUGGUCCCUCGAGACACAGCAGGACCUCGUCAAAUGUUCGGUGAAUGAGUGAAAAAAACAGGCCCCACUUAUGUGAGGACUCACUCAACACCUACCAGGGAGGUAAAAACUGUACUAGGCACUGAGACAGUGACCUAAAAACUGCCCCAGAUCUUGUCCCCCACAGUCCAGCGGAUUUUCAGUCACAGGACCUGGGUAUGAAUGCCAGGUCUUUGCCGGUUAUUAGCUCUUACCCUGAGCGAGUCAUCUAACCGAUGACGGUAUAGUGAUGGUGAUGAUGAUAGCCUAGCACUAUCUAUCAUGCCGACCAUGUGUGGCGACUACAAGAGGCACUUUACAUAAGUUAUUUCCUCUAACUCUCACAGAACAUACGGCUGUUCCCUUUUCAUGGCACAGGAAACCGAGACGGUACCGUACUUGUGAAGAGCACAGGCCUGGGAGUCAGACUGCCUGGGCUCAUAUCCUGGCCCUGCUACUUACUGUGUGACCUUGGGCAAGUUACUUAUCUGUGCCUCCCUCAUCUGUAAAAUAGGAGAAAGAUUGCUCUGAGGCUUAAAUGAGACGAUAAAUGCAAAGGGCGAAGCCCACAGGACCUGACACAUGAAAGGCGGCCAUAAAGCCUGGCUGGUGCUAUUUUUCAAAGAUGAACUCCAGGUCAGCAGGACACCCACCUUUAAUCUGUUGAGACCUUUUGAAACCGGAUUCUGUCAUCCUAAGAGUUGCUCUCCUCCUAGCUCCAGGGCAGCAGGACACCCACAGAAUUACCCUGGGCACUCGACCAGUGCAGCUAAGUCUGGAUCUGCGGGUCUGCAUCACUCAACACACACCCAGUUGCCCCAGACGCUUAUCCUGGGGGACGAGCUGGAGGAAAUUUAAAGGAUUCGAGAAUGGAACUUCACGGGAGAUCAAUGCCAGCCUCCCAGGGCCCUCCACGGAGCCUUCUUUGCGCCAGUGACCUUGAUGCUUGUGUAGUUAUUUAAUAUUCACCCGAAGCAGUCAUACGUUUGGCCCUUUACAGUAAACAGAAACGUACUGGAGAAAUGGUAGUUAUGGAUCAGGAAGUAAAAAACGUCAGGUUUGCACUAAUGGGUAAUUUUUCCCUCCGGAAAGCUUUUGCUAUGCUGAAGA